UACGUAGGGUGCGAGCGUUGUCCGGAAUUAUUGGGCGUAAAGGGCUCGUAGGCGGUUUGUCACGUCGGGAGUGAAAACUCAGGGCUUAACCCUGAGCCUGCUUCCGAUACGGGCAGACUAGAGGUAUGCAGGGGAGAAUGGAAUUCCUGGUGUAGCGGUGAAAUGCGCAGAUAUCAGGAGGAACACCGGUGGCGAAGGCGGUUCUCUGGGCAUUACCUGACGCUGAGGAGCGAAAGUGUGGGGAGCGAAUAGG
rnacentral:rRNA from 1 species